CCGGCUGGGAGCCAACACUAGCGAGCGCGCCAAACAGCAGCAUCUCCAUCCACUCCGCAGCCCACACCCCACCGCCGCCUCCACCUGCUGUCUACUCCGAUUUGGUUUCCAUCUUCUUUUGAGUGCUUGCAACUCGUGGGAUCUAGGCUGGGAGGAGCGGAAGUGCCCUAACGUACAGAUUUGAAUUGGCAACUUCGAACGAUGAACCUCGCCGUCCAGCAUGACUCUGUUUCGGUACUCUGUUGGGAAUACCAGCCCAUUUGCUUCUCCUUCAUCAGUCCCGGGUAUAUAAGUCUUCCCCUAACAUAGAGAUAACUACGGAGAACGAUGCAUUCAGUUGGAAGAACGAACUCCUUUAAAAAAUAUUACGAAUGCCCCAGUGGUUAAUUCAACAACAACACUAGAAGCGAAACAAGUGCUAAAUAAUCAUUUUGUUGAAUAAAGAAAUGUAUCAAUAAAUCCUAUACACCGUAAGCGUUUUCGUGAUCGGAAUAGAUACUUGCAAAUGACACCAGUUCAAAGAGAAACCUAUUUACAGAGGAAUCGCGAGUGCAAACGGGCAAAGAGAGAAAACUAUAGAAGUAGCAGCAGUGCGUAGUCCAUACCUGGGCGGAGAAAUAUGAGUUGCAGUGACCACAUACACAAGCUUAUGGACUCUUCUCAGGUGGCAGAAGGUUGCUGCAUGGACAUUUCAGCGGUCGAUCAGCAUGGUUGCUCAUCAAAAAUGAAGCAAGUGGCCACAUUUGGUAGUUUUGGGAUAUCUAAGUCUGGUAAAGACAUAUCUGAAUUGGACCAGCACCUUAUUCUUCAGACAAAUAUGUGCCACCUAGAUCAUGGAACUCGACUGAUGGUCAGUCGAUCGGGAGUAUAUGCACCUUCUAUUUCUCUUGAAGAUCAAGCUGCAGAUAAUGCAUUGACAAACAGUAGUCGACGUAAGCGACAACGUGGCACUAAGUGGUACUCAAACUUGGCAACUGAACAAAAAGAAGCAUACUUACAAAGGAAUCGUGACUAUAAGAAAAGAAGAAAUUCUCAUGGAGUGGGUUGUAGUAACGCACAUGAUACAACUGACAAGGCAAGUUGUAAUACACAUAAUGUAACUGGACAGACUGACAACUUGGUUCAUCAACAUAUGCCUAUGGAAAUUCAAGAGCAUAAUGAUCAUGAAUCUGAAGACACAAUCUACAUGCCAACUGAUUUUUUUCCUGCUAUCCAAGAUAAAAUUGGGGAAAUUGGAGAUGAUAUAAUAGGUGAAUAUGGGCAAACCAAAUAUAUGCUUGAAGGCGAUGAUGAAGAUUGUGAUAGCUGUUUAUUCGGCGAAGGAGGUAAGUAUUUUAGUAUAUAUCUUGUCAAAUGGAGAAAAAAAACAGAUAUUGGUAUCGAGGUAACUAUUAUACUAUUUUCUCACUUCCAAAUAACAAUGGACAUGUUCUGAAUAUGAAUCAUAUCAAGAAGCAGACCAUGCUAUUUGCGAAACACAAGUUGAUCCGUAUGACCACAUAUAUAAAAAUUUACCAAGUGGUCAUCAUGUUUUGGAGCCAGUACCCAAUUGCAGACAUUGCACCGCAAAAAGGUUUCAAUACGAGAAACCAACUUUUUGUUGCAUGGGUGGCAAGGUCAAGAUAGUAACUCCAUUGUUCCUGAAGAAAUGCAUCGAUUGUACACAAGUCAAGAUCCGGAAGCAAGAUAUUUCCAAGAUAACAUAAGAGGGAUAUCAAGGCAAACGACAAGAAUACUUGCCAAGCCAAACAAGGAUAUCGACCCAUCAGGGAAAAGUACUAAAAAUAUUGUCUAUAAGGAUGUUUUGAUGUGAUAAAUGUAACAUAGAUGGACUGCUGUUCAACAAUGACCAACAGAGGAAGAGUCCAAAGCUGCACUAUUUCAGUCUCUGUAGAUUCAAGCGCCGGUCAGUCUCUGUGUUUCCUAUUCGACAAAGUAAACAAGAAACUUGCUUCUCUACGUAGUGUCAGGAUGCCUGUCAACGGUAUAUAGAGUGUAAUCCUGUAGUGCAUAGUUUAGCUAUGCAGAUGUCAUUCGUUUCUGGUUAGAUGACAUGUCCAAUGACACGAAGGAGCUUGUCUUGGAAUAUAUUGUGAUAUGUUUUAACAGUAUGUUGCAAGGAAGCUUUCUCUUUCAUGUAAAAGAAAAUGCCAGCCGUGUGCUCUUAUGAUCUGCCUAUAAAU